AGGACGAACGCUGGCGGCGUGCUUAACACAUGCAAGUCGAACGGUGAUCUUGGAGCUUGCUCCGGGUGAGCAGUGGCGAACGGGUGAGUAACACGUGAGUAACCUGCCCCAGACUCUGGAAUAAGCGCUGGAAACGGCGUCUAAUACCGGAUAUGACACUAAACCGCAUGGUUAUGGUGUGGAAAGUUUUUCGGUUGGGAUGGACUCGCGGCCUAUCAGCUUGUUGGUGAGGUAAUGGCUCACCAAGGCGAUGACGGGUAGCCGGCCUGAGAGGGCAGUCGACGACGACUGGGACUGAGACACGGCCCAGACUCCAGGAGCAGCAGUGGGAAUAUGCAA
rnacentral:rRNA from 1 species